rnacentral:lncRNA from 10 species
AGUUCCUAAGGGUAAAGAGGGCUCCGCGCAUGCAGGAAGACCACCCUAAGGGAAGAAUCAUGGGAAAGAGAUGUCACAUGAAAGUCUGUAAAUAUGAACCACACUCUACUGCCCAGUGAUGGAGAAACCUACUGACUGUGGUGCGCAGAUUCCUAAGACGCCCUCAUGGUAUCCAUGUCCGCAUCAUCUCCUCCCCCUUGAGAGUGGGCUGAACCUGUGACUGGCCUCUAACCAACAGGCUAUCGUGAAGUUCUGCAGCUACAAGAAAAUGAGUUCUGCCAACAACCAAGUGAGCACUGAAGAGGACCCUGAGCAUCAGAGGACAGCCUAGCCCUGGCCAAUGCCUUCAUUGCAGCACUGUGAGACCCGAACAAAAGAUCCAGCUAAUGCAUGUUCAGAAUUCUGAUUCCAGGAAACUGUGGAAUAAUAAAUGCUCCUAUGUUAAGCUGCUAAGUGUGUGGUAAUGUUUUUACUCAGCAAUAGAAAACUACUGCUGGAUGGGCGCGGUGGCUUGUGCCUGUAAUCCCAGCACUUUGGGAGACCGAGGCACAUGGAUCACUUGAG